GGGCCCGUGGGUUAGUCUGGCUUAUGCUAGAUCGUUUGGGACGAUUUGACCCAGGUUCAAAUCCUGGCGGGCCCACCA
rnacentral:tRNA from 1 species